UCCCUGGUGGCUCAGAUGGUAGAGAAUCUGCCUGCAGUGCAGGAGACCCAGGUUUGAUCCCUGGAUUGGGAA
rnacentral:tRNA from 1 species